rnacentral:misc_RNA from 1 species
AAGCCAUAUGAAGAUUUGAAGACUGGAAAAUACAAAGUAAAGGUAAAUGGCACCUUAAGAUGUCCAUUCUGUGCUGGGAAAAAGAAGCAGGAUUACAAGUACAAGGAUUUGCUUCAACAUGCAUCAGGAGUGGCUAAGGGUUCUGCCAACAGGAGUGGAAAACAAAAGGCAAACCAUCUUGCCCUAGCAAUGUAUUUGGAAAAUGACCUAGUAAAUGAAGCAGAUCAAAUUCAACGUCCAGUUUUGCC